GAUGAACGCUGGCGGCGUGCCUAAUACAUGCAAGUCGAGCGAACAGACGAGGAGCUUGCUCCUCUGACGUUAGCGGCGGACGGGUGAGUAACACGUGGAUAACCUACCUAUAAGACUGGGAUAACUUCGGGAAACCGGAGCUAAUACCGGAUAAUAUAUUGAACCGCAUGGUUCAAUAGUGAAAGACGGUUUUGCUGUCACUUAUAGAUGGAUCCGCGCCGCAUUAGCUAGUUGGUAAGGUAACGGCUUACCAAGGCAACGAUGCGUAGCCGACCUGAGAGGGUGGACGGCCACACUGGAACUGAGACACGGGCCAGACUCCUAAGGGAGGCAGCAGUAGGGAAUCUUCCGGAAUGGGCGAAAGCCUGAAGGAGCAACGCCGCGUGGGUGAUGAAGGUCUUCGGAUCGUAAAACUCUGUUAUUAGGGAAGAACAAAUGUGUAAGUAACUAUGCACGUCUUGACGGUACCUAAUCAGAAAGCCACGGCUAACUACGGG
rnacentral:rRNA from 1 species